AAUCAACGCUGGCGGCGUGCCUCAGACAUGCAAGUCGAACGAUUAAAGCUCUCUUCGGAGAGUGCAUAAAGUGGCGCACGGGUGAGUAACACGUAAGUAAUCUACCUUCGAGUGGGGAAUAACGUCCGGAAACGGACGCUAAUACCGCAUAAUGCAGCGGCAUCGCAAGAUGACAGUUGUUAAAGAUUUAUCGCUUGAAGAGGAGCUUGCGGCAGAUAGCUAGUUGGUAAGGUAAUGGCUUACCAAGGCUACGAUCUGUAACCGGUCUAAGAGGACGGUCGGUCACACUGACACUGAAUAACGGGUCAGACUCCUACGGGAGGCAGCAGUCGGGAAUUUUGGGCAAUGGGCGAAAGCCUGACCAAGCAACGCCGCGUGGGUGAUGAAGUAUCUUGGUACGUAAAACCCUUUGGCAGGGACGAACUCAAUGACGGGUACCUGCAGAAGAAGCCCCGGCUAACUCCGUGCCAGCCGCCGCUGUAAU
rnacentral:rRNA from 1 species